GUUUACUUUUAAGAGAUGAGUUUAAUGUUAAAGGAGGUGGCUUCUAUACAGGAACCACUGUACUUGGAAGAAUAAAUAAAUCUAUUUUUAUCUUCCAUCAGUAAAGAUGUUUCCCAUUACAGCAACACAUAUACCUUCAUAUAUACGUUUGACUUAGUCAAAUAUUUUUUAUGGCACUAAGAUGUUUGACAUUAAGAUAUUUGUGUAUAACCUGAGCUAUGAAGUAUAUUUUAAUAUUUCAUUAAAAUUCCAUUUGGAGAACAUAUCACAUUUUAAAAAAUCAUUUAUUAUCUUGAUUGAUGGCAUUUUAGUAAGCACUGGUUGAGUUUAAAACCAAAAUAUAAUCUUAGACCUAAGGAAGCAGACUGUGCAGGCCGAACUUUUUGUAGCUUCCCACAAACUGCCUCAGUAUUUUUUGGCAGCAGUUUUGUGAAACCCACCACAAGGAACAGAUCAAACAUAUCUUUAAAAUAUGUAGCCCGAUAGAAAUUGUGAUUAUAUAUGUAAUUAUAUUUGUGAGAGAUAAAAUAGAUAUUAAGUGACUGAAAACAUUAAAUAGUAGAUUGCCAAUGUAUUAAAUCAUCUGUGUGAGAAAUGAAAAUACAUUAUAGAGGGAGACAUGUUUCCAUUCUGUCUGUGACUGAAAGAAGCUUAACCAAUGCUUUAUGAGUUUGAAAAACAAACUAUAUGAACAGUGUGUGAAACAUGUAUGUCAGUGAUGUACAGUAGUAGCUGAAAGAAAACGAAGAGGUUUUAAAGCAGUUGGUUGAUACACACUUGAAAAAAGCAAAAGAAAUGAUAAUCAAAAACAGCUGAACUUCCUAAUCUCUUUUGUAGGUCCUGCAUCUUGUGAGUACCUGUGAGAAAAGACUCCUUAACAUUUAGAAAACUAAAUCUUGCUAGCUGCCAAGAUUUCCAUUAUAAGAAAUGUCCAGACUAUUACAAACCCCAUCUAUUCCAGACACCUAUCUCAGAAUGAAUUAAAUCCUCCUCUAGAAGUGACUCUAGAAGUGCUCUUGAUUACAGGAAUAAGACCAAACACCAGUUUUAUACUGAACAAUUGGAUUUUGAAUGGCUGCAAUCAGUCAAAACAAAUGCUGUCCCCAGCUUGUAUGAAGUGUACAGAAGUGACUGGAGUCAGGAUUAUCAGAUAGAAGAUCUCCUCAAAACUCCAAAGGUGCCCUGAAAGCACUCCUCAAACCUACACAGAUAUGGGGAAGAAGAAGCUCAGAAUGCUACUGCUUUAUUUUUAAUGGAGGGAAAAGAAGAUGGGAAAGAGCAAGACUUCUCUUCCCUGCCUGAAAAUGUCUCUACCCCCACCUAAAAAGUCUCUACAGAACACCCCAACCUGUAAACUGUGUACGAUGCAGGCAAUUCUGAAACUUCCCAUUGAAGCCAUGUCACUGAUAAAAACAAGCUGCCUUAACAGCAAA